GGGAGCUUGCUCCCAUUUCUCAGCGGCGGACGGGUGAGUAACACGUGGGCAACCUGCCCUACAGACUGGGAUAACUCCGGGAAACCGGAGCUAAUACCGGGUAAUACAUAGCAUCGCAUGAUGCAACGUUGAAAGUUGGCCUUUGGCUAACACUGUAGGAUGGGCCCGCGGCGCAUUAGCUAGUUGGUAAGGUAACGGCUUACCAAGGCCACGAUGCGUAGCCGACCUGAGAGGGUGAUCGGCCACACUGGGACUGAGACACGGCCCAGACUCCUACGGGAGGCAGCAGUAGGGAAUCUUCCGCAAUGGACGAAAGUCUGACGGAGCAACGCCGCGUGAGUGACGAAGGCCUUCGGGUCGUAAAGCUCUGUUGUUAGGGAAGAACAAGUACCGUUCGAAUAGGGCGGUACCUU
rnacentral:rRNA from 1 species